CUACGGGGCGCUCCAGUGGGGGAUAUUGCACAAUGGGCGAAAGCCUGAUGCAGCAACGCCGCGUGAAGGAAGACGGAUUUCGGUCUGUAAACUUCUAUCAGCUGGGAAGAAAAUGACGGUACCAGACUAAGAAGCCCCGGCUAACUACGUGCCAGCAGCCGCGGUAAUACGUAGGGGGCAAGCGUUAUCCGGAUUUACUGGGUGUAAAGGGUACGUAGGCGGUCGCUUAAGUCAGAUGUGAAAGCCCGAAGCUCAACUUCGGGACUGCAUUUGAAACUGGGUGACUAGAGUACAGGAGAGGAAAGCGGAAUUCCUAGUGUAGCGGUGAAAUGCGUAGAUAUUAGGAAGAACACCAGUGGCGAAGGCGGCUUUCUGGACUGUAACUGACGCUGAGGUACGAAAGCGUGGGGAGCGAACAGGAUUAGAUACCCUAGUAGUC
rnacentral:rRNA from 1 species